GAUGAACGCUGGCGGCGUGCCUAAUACAUGCAAGUCGAGCGAACAGAUAAGGAGCUUGCUCCUUUGAAGUUAGCGGCGGACGGGUGAGUAACACGUGGGUAACCUACCUAUAAGACUGGGAUAACUUCGGGAAACCGGAGCUAAUACCGGAUAACAUUUAGAACCGCAUGGUUCUAAAGUGAAAGAUGGUUUUGCUAUCACUUAUAGAUGGACCCGCGCCGUAUUAGCUAGUUGGUAAGGUAACGGCUUACCAAGGCGACGAUACGUAGCCGACCUGAGAGGGUGAUCGGCCACACUGGAACUGAGACACGGUCCAGACUCCUACCGGAGGCAUCAGUAGGGAAUCUUCCGCAAUGGGCGAAAGCCUGACGGAGCAACGCCGCGUGAGCUGAUGAAGGGUUUCGGCUCGUAAAACUCUGUUAUUAGGGAAGAACAAAUGUGUAAGUAACUGUGCACAUCUUGACGGUACCUAAUCAGAAAGCCUCGGCUAACUACCUGUCAGUCCCCCGCGGGAACACGUUAGUGGCCAGCGCUUAUCCCGGAAUAUUUGGUCGUUAAGCGCGCGUAGGCGGUUUCUUAAGUCUGAUGUGAAAGCCCACGGCUCACCUGUGGAGGGUCAUUGGAAACUGGGAAACUUGAGUGCAGAAGAGGAAAGUGGAAUUCCAUGUGUAGCGGUGAAAUGCGCAGAGAUAUGGAGGAACACCAGUGGCGAAGGCGACUUUCUGGUCUGUAACUGACGCUGAUGUGCGAAAGCGUGGGGAUCAAACAGGAUUAGAUACCCUGGUAGUCCACGCCGUAAACGAUGAGUGCUAAGUGUUAGGGGGUUUCCGCCCCUUAGUGCUGCAGCUAACGCAUUAAGCACUCCGCCUGGGGAGUACGACCGCAAGGUUGAAACUCAAAGGAAUUGACGGGGACCCGCACAAGCGGUGGAGCAUGUGGUUUAAUUCGAAGCAACGCGAAGAACCUUACCAAAUCUUGACAUCCUUUGAAAACUCUGGAGAUAGAGCCUUCCCCUUCGGGGGACAAAGUGACAGGUGGUGCAUGGUUGUCGUCAGCUCGUGUCGUGAGAUGUUGGGUUAAGUCCCGCAACGAGCGCAACCCUUAAGCUUAGUUGCCAUCAUUAAGUUGGGCACUCUAGGUUGACUGCCGGUGACAAACCGGAGGAAGGUGGGGAUGACGUCAAAUCAUCAUGCCCCUUAUGAUUUGGGCUACACACGUGCUACAAUGGACAAUACAAAGGGCAGCUAAACCGCGAGGUCAUGCAAAUCCCAUAAAGUUGUUCUCAGUUCGGAUUGUAGUCUGCAACUCGACUACAUGAAGCUGGAAUCGCUAGUAAUCGUAGAUCAGCAUGCUACGGUGAAUACGUUCCCGGGUCU
rnacentral:rRNA from 1 species